UACGGAGGGUGCGAGCGUUGUCCGGAAUCAUUGGGCGUAAAGGGCGCGUAGGUGGCCCGGUCAGUUCGUGGUGAAAGCGCGGGGCUCAACCCUGCGUCGGCCAUGAAUACUGCCGCGGCUGGAGCACUGUAGAGGCAGGCGGAAUUCCGGGUGUAGCGGUGGAAUGCGUAGAGAUCCGGAAGAACACCAGUGGCGAAGGCGGCUAACUGGUCCGGUACUGACGCUGAGGUGCGAAAGCGUGGGGAGCAAACAGG
rnacentral:rRNA from 1 species